rnacentral:rRNA from 1 species
GAUGAACGCUGGCGGCGUGCCUAAUACAUGCAAGUCGAGCGAACGGACGAGAAGCUCGCUUCUCUGAUGUUAGCGGCGGACGGGUGAGUAACACGUGGAUAACCUACCUAUAAGACUGGGAUAACUUCGGGAAACCGGAGCUAAUACCGGAUAAUAUUUUGAACCGCAUGGUUCAAAAGUGAAAGACGGUCUUGCUGUCACUUAUAGAUGGAUCCGCGCUGCAUUAGCUAGUUGGUAAGGUAACGGCUUACCAAGGCAACGAUGCAUAGCCGACCUGAGAGGGUGAUCGGCCACACUGGAACUGAGACACGGUCCAGACUCCUACGGGAGGCAGCAGUAGGGAAUCUUCCGCAAUGGGCGAAAGCCUGACGGAGCAACGCCGCGUGAGUGAUGAAGGUCUUCGGAUCGUAAAACUCUGUUAUUAGGGAAGAACAUAUGUGUAAGUAACUGUGCACAUCUUGACGGUACCUAAUCAGAAAGCCACGGCUAACUACGUGCCAGCAGCCGCGGUAAUACGUAGGUGGCAAGCGUUAUCCGGAAUUACUGGGCGUAAAGAGCUCGUAGGUGGUUUGUCGCGUCGUCUGUGAAAUUCCGGGGCUUAACUCCGGGCGUGCAGGCGAUACGGGCAUAACUUGAGUACUGUAGGGGAGACUGGAAUUCCUGGUGUAGCGGUGAAAUGCGCAGAUAUCAGGAGGAACACCGGUGGCGAAGGCGGGUCUCUGGGCAGUAACUGACGCUGAGGAGCGAAAGCAUGGGGAGCGAACAGGAUUAGAUACCCUGGUAGUCCAUGCCGUAAACGGUGGGCGCUAGGUGUGGGUUUCCUUCCACGGGAUCCGUGCCGUAGCUAACGCAUUAAGCGCCCCGCCUGGGGAGUACGGCCGCAAGGCUAAAACUCAAAGGAAUUGACGGGGGCCCGCACAAGCGGCGGAGCAUGUGGAUUAAUUCGAUGCAACGCGAAGAACCUUACCUGGGCUUGACAUAUACAGGAUCGCGCCAGAGAUGGUGUUUCCCUUGUGGCUUGUAUACAGGUGGUGCAUGGUUGUCGUCAGCUCGUGUCGUGAGAUGUUGGGUUAAGUCCCGCAACGAGCGCAACCCUUGUCUUAUGUUGCCAGCACGUUGUGGUGGGGACUCGUAAGAAACUGCCGGGGUUAACUCGGAGGAAGGUGGGGAUGACGUCAAAUCAUCAUGCCCCUUAUGUCCAGGGCUUCACACAUGCUACAAUGGUCGGUACAGUGGGUUGCCAGUCCGUGAGGGCGAGCUAAUCCCGCAAAGCCGGUCUCAGUUCGGAUCGGGGUCUGCAACUCGACCCCGUGAAGUCGGAGUCGCUAGUAAUCGCAGAUCAGCAACGCUGCGGUGAAUACGUUCCCGGGCCU